AACGAACGCUGGCGGCAUGCCUAACACAUGCAAGUCGAACGAGACCUUCGGGUCUAGUGGCGCACGGGUGCGUAACGCGUGGGAACCUGCCCUUAGGUUCGGAAUAACUCCCCGAAAGGGGUGCUAAUACCGGAUAAUGUCUUCGGACCAAAGAUUUCUCGCCUUUGGAUGGGCCCGGGUUGGAUUAGCUAGUUGGUAGGGUAAAAGCCUACCAAGGCGACGAUCCAUAGCUGGUCUGAGAGGAUGAUCAGCCACACUGGGACUGAGACACGGCCCAGACUCCUACGGGAGGCAGCAGUGGGUAAUAUUGGACGAGGGGCGAAAGCCUGAUCCAGCAAUGCGGCGUGAGUGAUGAAGGCCUUAGGGUUGUAAAGCCCUUUUACCCGGGAUGAUAAUGACGGUACCGGGAGAAUAAGCACCGGCUAACUCCGUG
rnacentral:rRNA from 1 species